GGAGAGGUGGCAGAGAGGCCGAUUGCAGUCGCCUGCUAAGUGACUGACCUGGUAAAACGGGUCCUAGGGUUCGAAUCCCUACCUCUCCG
rnacentral:tRNA from 1 species